UCCUAUGGAGUAUUGUUGUGGGAGAUAUUUACACUCGGAGGGAAUCCUUAUCCAUCUGUACCUGUGGAAAGAUUAUUUGAACUUUUAAAAGAAGGUCAUAGAAUGGGCAGACCUCCAUAUGCUUCAGAAAUAAUUAAUAAAACGAUGCAGUCCUGUUGGCAUGAGAAUCCAUCAGGGCGACCAUCUUUCAAUAACCUUGUUAUUGAUUUUAAUAAAAUGUUGACCUCUAUGGACAACAGAAGUGAAGAAUAUCCAAAUCUAGAUGAUUGUAACAGUAUACAUCCCAUCAUAUCAUCAUGAUCAUAGUCUCUCUCAUGUACGAGGCAUUCACUGACAACUGUGUUUUAUACUAAUAGGCAGUGGUUGUUUCAUUAUCUCAAUCAUCUAGAUCGUCUUCCACAUAUUGAAUUAUACUUGACUUAAUUGUUCAAAGAAGACAACCAUGCAUCUUAUUCAAUCUCAUGUUUUUACAACAAGUGCUAUAGUGAACAAAAAAAAAGUUUUUGUUGCUCUAAUGUUCAACCUGUGCAACCUCAUUGACACCAAAGACAAAGAAAUACUAUUAGAAAUCCAGUGUCUGUGAUUUUUUUUUUGUGAUUUGUGUUGACAAGGAUAAAUAUGUUUAAUCAUGUAAAGUACAGGAACUUAUUUCAAGUCAUUUUUUAAAUGGAAAUGUCCAAAGUUUUUUGAUGACAAUUUAUAUCAAUUGUGACGAAAAUGCGUUCAAAUGACGACGAACGAACUUCAAAUUGUGAUCUUUUGAGAAAUAAUGAAAUUCAAAUCAGCGAACUGUCCGGGAGUAUUAAACAAAUUAUUUCGAUCAAAUGACGAAACUAUACUCCUGGUUGUUGAAAUGCCAACUGACUAAUUUUACAGCAAAAAUGUUCUUUUAUAGUUAUGAUCUGUAAAAUUUGCAUCAUUUUUCCACAUUUUCUAUAUUAAAUUUUACAACAAAAUUAAGCUAACAAUACACAGGAUUGUCAAUAUAGUUUUUUUCUGUUUUAUCAUUCUGAAAGUAGAAAUUGUGCAGGCACAAUACUGUUUUUUAUUGGCUCAUGCUUUGCAACAUUAUACACUAUUUUAUAUAUGAUUUUGGUUAUACUGUUGAAUUACUUUAGUAUACAUUUCAAUGAAUACAAAUUUUGAUUAUUUAGAAGAAUGAAAAUAAGUGAAUUAAAUUUUCAUUUAAAUUCAUACAUGUGUACAUAUUAAAAAAGCAUAGCAGAUGCAGUUUAGCAAGAGGAAAUGAGAAGUUUAAGGUAAAUGAAAUGUGUUUAAGACAACCUUAUGCUAAGCUUUUAUCCACACACGGUACCAAUAAUAGCCAAUUGCAUAAGGUUGCUUUGACCCGAAUCCCUAGGUGGUAAAAGGUGGGACUAUUUUAGUUGAGUUCCAAAGUUAUGGUAGGGUGAAACAACCUCCUUUAUUCUGCAAUGCAUAAAAAAAAAUCCCAUCGGGAAAGGUUUUGUCCACACUUAGUUCAAAUGAUGGGACCAAGGUGGGUAAGGUUUUAUAAGGUUUAAAGUUUGGGUAGUGUUACCACCUUCCACCUUUAAUUUAUCAAAAAUUCCCUACGGCACAGCUUUGUCAACAAUAAGUACAAAUGAUAGGGAAUUACCUAAGGUUGUUUGGACCCAACGACCAAGAUGGGUAAAGUGCUUUAACUUUUUUAUACGACCGCAAAAAUUUUAAUUUUUUGGUCGUAUAUUGGUAUCAGGUUGGCGUUGUCGUCGUCGUCGUCCGAAUACUUUUGGUUUUCGCACUAUAACUUUAGUUUAAGUAAAUAGAAAUCUAUGCAAUUUAAACACUAGGUUUAUGACCAUAAAAGAAAGGUUUGGAUUGUUUUUGUAAGUUUUGGUCCCAACAGUUUAGGAAUUAGGGGCCAAAAAGGGCCCAAAUAAGCAUUUUCUUGGUUUUCGCAAGUUAAAAGAAUACAUGUCAGUUUUCAAAUCCCAUGUACAGAAUAAGGAUAAAUCAUGGAUAUCUAAAAAAGAGGGACGAAAGAUACCAGAGGGACAGUCAAAAUGCCAACGAGGUUCAGGUUUUGCUUUUCUUAUUUUAAAUGCUUCAUGGGAAUAUAAUAUACAGCAUUUUUAUAUUUAGAGAGCUUAUAUUCUUCUGCAUUUUUUAAUCUCGUCUAUAAAUAAAACUAACCUUUGGAGUACAUUAUCAUAUAAAGAUUAAAAUAAAUUGCAAAAAAUACCAAGUAGUCCAAGAUCAAGAUAUUUAUAAAUAUCUUCGAAGUUGUGAUUGAGAACUUUGUUUUCCUAAAACAUAUCUUUUUUGCAGUUAAGCAAGGUUCUUAAAUUGAAGAAAAUACAGUUCUAAAAUUAACAUUGUUGA